CGGGGCGUAGCGCAGUCUGGUUAGCGCGCCCGGUUCGGGACCGGGAGGUCGGCGGUUCAAAUCCGCUCGCCCCGA
rnacentral:tRNA from 1 species